rnacentral:rRNA from 1 species
AUUGAACGCUGGCGGCAUGCCUUACACAUGCAAGUCGAACGGUAACAGGUCUUCGGAUGCUGACGAGUGGCGAACGGGUGAGUAAUACAUCGGAACGUGCCCGAUCGUGGGGGAUAACGAGGCGAAAGCUUUGCUAAUACCGCAUACGAUCUACGGAUGAAAGCGGGGGAUCUUCGGACCUCGCGCGGACGGAGCGGCCGAUGGCAGAUUAGGUAGUUGGUGGGAUAAAAGCUUACCAAGCCGACGAUCUGUAGCUGGUCUGAGAGGAUGAUCAGCCACACUGGGACUGAGACACGGCCCAGACUCCUACGGGAGGCAGCAGUGGGGAAUUUUGGACAAUGGGCGAAAGCCUGAUCCAGCCAUGCCGCGUGCAGGAUGAAGGCCUUCGGGUUGUAAACUGCUUUUGUACGGAACGAAAAGCCUCUUUCUAAUAAAGAGGGGUCAUGACGGUACCGUAAGAAGAAGCACCGGCUAACUACGU